rnacentral:rRNA from 1 species
AACGAACGCUGGCGGCAUGCCUAACACAUGCAAGUCGAACGGAUGGUCGCAAGACCAUUAGUGGCGGACGGGUGCGUAACGCGUGGGAACCUGCCUUGAAGUUCGGAAUAACUGCGGGAAACUGCAGCUAAUACCGGAUGUGGCCUGCGGGCCAAAGGGGAAACUCGCUUCAAGAGGGGCCCGCGUCCGAUUAGCUAGUUGGCGGGGUAACGGCCCACCAAGGCGAUGAUCGGUAGCCGGUCNGAGAGGACGACCAGCCACACUGGAACUGAGAUACGGUCCAGACUCCUACGGGAGGCAGCAGUGGGGAAUAUUGGACAAUGGGCGCAAGCCUGAUCCAGCCAUACCGCGUGGGUGAAGAAGGCCUU